rnacentral:rRNA from 1 species
UACGUACUGUGCGAACGUUAUUCGGAAUUACUGGGCUUAAAGGGUGUGUAGGCGGCUGAUUAAGUAGGUGUGAAAGGCCCCGGCCUAACCGAGGCAUUGCGCUCUAAACUGAUUGGCUUGAGUGAGAUAGGGGUGUGCGGAACUUCCAGUGGAGCGGUGAAAUGUGUUGAUAUUGGAAGGAACGCCGGUGGCGAAAGCGGCACACUGGGUGCUCGUCUGACGCUGAGACACGAAAGCCAGGGGAGCGAACGG